rnacentral:rRNA from 1 species
UACGUAGGGUGCAAGCGUUGUCCGGAAUUAUUGGGCGUAAAGAGCUCGUAGGCGGUUUGUCACGUCGGAUGUGAAAACCCGAGGCUUAACCUCGGGCCUGCAUUCGAUACGGGCUGACUAGAGUUCGGUAGGGGAGACUGGAAUUCCUGGUGUAGCGGUGAAAUGCGCAGAUAUCAGGAAGAACACCCGUGGCGAAGGCGGCUCUCUGGGACGGUACUGACGCUGAGACGCGAAAGCGUGGGGAGCGAACAGG